UUAGCCAAGGACUGCUCAUAAAUAGUUGAACGUGGCUUGGUGAUCACCUCCAACAGCUCCAUCAGCACCAGUGCUGAUUGGAGCCAGCCCAGCGAGAGCCAGAGCCGGUGAGGUUCAGCCGACCACGAGGUUCAGCCGAGAUUAGGAAGCUCAGAGGGAAACGUACAGGGACAGCGUGAUUCCCGGCGAGUCCCGAUCCCAGCAGCCCCGGCAGCCAUUGCGAGAGAGUGGCUGACGUGGCGGGGGGCAUUCCCACGGUGACGGCGACCACACCCCCUCCCCUUGCCUUGAAAAAGCCUUUGGGAGGACAGCGACCACCAGGUGUAAGGAGGAGCAAUCAGCUUGUGUAGCAGGCUUUUCUGCAGCUGCUCCUCUGAUAAGAACACUUUCCUUUGUGACUGCGAAGAGAGAGGGAACUUGGGAGGAAGUGAACCAAGAGCUACUGGGAAUGAGGUUAGCUGGUUAUUUGUACCAAUAUUAAUGGAAUAAUUGAUGAAGAAACACUAGAAAUUCCUCCUUGUUAACACCAUGUUAUAACUUUGCCUGGGCUUUGUUCUAAGCAGACCAGCAUAAGACAACAUUAUACCACCAAGAUGAUAGUCUAAUAGUCUUGAUUGCCUGCAAGAUGCUAACUUAAGUAAAAUGAUCCGAGGACAAGUAACUGUCUUUGGAUCAGUAAGAUCAUCUUCCUAUUAAAUUGUUUCUCAACAGCACACACCUCACAUGUUAAGCUGACAAACUGAAAGGGCUCCUAGAAACCAAUUUUAGGCUCAGGAAACAACUCAGUACAACCAUUUGUAAAUAUAACCGGAAUAAACUAUUUAAUCAAUCCACAAUCUCUAUAUACAUGCAAAAAUUACAUCUGAAAAAAAACAUACAUAAUUGAAGCUUAUUAAGGAAAAACACACACCAACAUAAGUUUUAUCUUAUGGGUUUUUAUAUGCAAGAGCAGGUGCUAUAAAUACAAGGUGAUCUCUGCCUUAGAUUAUGAUAAAAGAUUAAGUGUAAAAGCAGAAAAUGAUCUAACAGUCUGGGCAUAACACACAGUUAACUACCAUCUCAGACAGUUAAGGCCCUACCAAGUAAUUAGAGAUCAGAUGACAACUAUGCAAACAGCUCAAAUUGAGGUUCUUUGGGUCUCAGCGUUGCACUCCGAAGUCACACAUGCGUUCUUUUAUGUGUGUUCAGUAGCUGAUUCAGCUCAACUCUUUGAAAGCAACUGAUACACUUACCUUUGGCUUUGCACAAAGUCCAAAGUCUAUUAGCUUCAAAUUAUGCUCCUCAUCAAUCAGCAGAUUUUCCUGGUGAAAGAGAAAGUAGUAAUGAAUGCUUCCAUAACCCAAUAAACCACGUUUUCUUUCACCUUAUUUCUUCUUGUCAUUAGCAGCUAGUAUUUAGCUAAAGCUCUCCUCUAGAGAUUGCGAUUGGUUGCUGAUGAAUAUAUCCCAUAUUUCAGAUGGGGAAUACUAGAUCUUAUCUGCUGAGAAGGGCCUGGCAGUGGGGAUUUGCUAGACAGAACGCUGCAUGCGAGGCAACAGUGUGCUCUGGCAGAAAAGGUGGCCAGCAACAUCAUAGACUGUAUGGAAAGGAGAACAGCUUGUAGUCUGGGGUAAGUUACUCAAGUUCUCUGUUCAGCACAGCUUGAACAGUGCAUCUGGCUUCUGCCCUCCAAGCACAGGAAAGACAUUAACUGAGGAAAGCUCAGUGGAUGGCCACUGGUCUGCUUGGGGGCUGGAGCACUCUCUUAGUGAGGAGAGGCUGAUGGAGAAACAAUUGUUCAGCCUGUAGACAAGAAAUCCUAAGCAGACACCUCAGGGUAGCCUUUUAGUGCAGACAACACACAUUAAGACAUGUUCAGACUGGAAAUAAGGAAAAGUGUUUCUCCUCAUAGGGACAGUGGAGAGUGGAACAGGCUGCCCAGAAAUUGCACCUCCUCAUCCUUGGGAGAAGUCAAAUAUGUGACUGGAUAAAGCCCUAGGAAGCCAGAUCUGACACUGCUUUUGAGCAGGAGGUUCAAGCAAAAGCCUCUAGAACUCACUUCCCAUCCAAGCUAUGACAUGACACUAUGAAUCUAUCAGCUCUCUAGCCACAAGGCAACUCCUUCCAAAAGGUACGUGUAACACUUUGUUUGAGGAAAAGUUUUUUGGAGACAGAUUUCAUGAGCUAAGAAAAUGCCUGUGCACUAAGAAUUUGCUUUUCUGAGAAACAUCAGCAUUUCUGAAAAUGCAGAUUUCUGACCUCUUCAAGGAGAAAUGGACUCAAGUCUUCCAUUCUCUAAACCUAUGCUUAAACUCUGCAAUGACAGAAAAGCCACACAAUGAGUCCAGUACCAUGUGUCUCCCCCAAAACUCUGUCUAGCCAUCACUUGUUUAAAGUAUUAGUGUCACAUUUUGCUUUGGACGUGAAAACAGAACAGUUUGCACAACAGAUUGGCACCAUAAAGACUCCCUCCAAGUACAAGCCAGAGUAAGUGGGAUAAUAAAAAUGCCUAAGCAACAUUGAAAGUCAGAUCCGUGUCUUCUCUCCACUCCCAACCAGAGUGUAUUGUUCUGUCUCUCUUUGAGAAGAAUCUUUCCUCAGAUACAGUCACUGAGAAACAUAGUAGCAAGCAGAAAUAAUACACUUUCAGAAGGUAUUGGACAAAGAGGUCUAAGCACAAGAGAAUAGAGACGGUAUAAGUUACUCUGACCUCCAACGGAGAAAUAAAAAUCAGUGUUCAUCAUUAUUUAAGCAAAUCUGACUACUAUUCAGGCUUACUGGUUUGAGAUCCCUGUGGGCAUAUCCCUGACUGUGAACAUAUGCAAUUGCUGAAACAAUCUGACGAAAAAAUACACGAGCUUCCUCUUCUGAAAGGCGGUCCUUCGAAAUUAUGUAGUCAAACAGCUCUCCUCCAGGACAGUACUGCAUGAAGACAGGAAAAAGAGAAUGCAUUUAUAACACAGUAAUGAAAUCUAAACAACAAGAGCACUGGACAGAAACUAGAGAACACACUUCCCUUCCUUCUGCUUUACCAGAGGAGUGCCCAAGUGCCCCACAGCAUGCUGUAGGCCAGCACUGCAGCAGACCAAACAUGCAGAGGAAUUUGACCCUUGCCUGACGUGUUGCAACAAAUGCAUCACACUAACAUCACAGGCGACACAAAUUGCUAAGGAGGUGACAACCACACAGGAGGUCUGGGGUCCUGAAUAUCCUGCUGAUGCCAUUUUAAAAUUACUAAAGUGAGACGUAGGAAUUAAAGUUAUUUCACUUUUUGUAAACAGCAAAGAGCACCUUUUAUAAGAGAGAAUAGAGAACACAUUACCAGCUUCAUUUUUAAACUACAGCAUCUUGAACACAGUGGUCAUUGAGACAAUUUUUUAACAUGGUUUCAUAUGAACUCUUAUCUGCCACUACAGCUAAAACCUGGAACCUUUUCCAUGCGAGAAACACCACUUCUUACCUCUAAGACCAUGAAUAUUUUCUUGGAUGUCUCUAUUACAUGAUACAACCGGCAAAUAUGCUGGUGACUCAAGUUCUUCAUGGCAUCAAUUUCAAUUUUAACACGAGGCAAGUCAUCCUAAGAGACCACAACAAAAAGCUCAAAAAUGCAAAUUAUUUGGACAGCCUGUACAUCACAAUAAGCAUCAGAGCAUUGUGCAACACUAACUUUCACAGAAUGUAUAUGACAGUAUACAAUUCAACUUCUCAAAUUCAAUCCAGCAACAGCUCUGCCAUUACUCCCCUACAGUUCUGGCACACUGGCCAGCAAAACCCAGAGGGACAGACAUAAAUAGAUAAUAUUCUCAUCAGCAUUCUGUUUGCACUACUGUAAUAAUCUUUAACUUUCUCAAUUUUACAGCCAGAGAAUGCUGCCCUCUAUAUAAGAGGCACAAAAUUGGUGGCCUUCUGUUAAAAGGCCACCAAUUCUACAGCAUUCAUCAAUAGCCAACAGAACAAGCAGGCACCAUUUUGACAUGUCAAACCACUGUGUUCUUGAGAACUCCACAAGAGCAGCAGAGGAUGCUAUCAACUUUUAAGUAUCUUUUGGCUUACCCCUAGAGCAAGUUUGUCCAUGAUUUUUACUGCAACUUUUUCACCGGUGAGAAGAUGUCGUGCAAGUUUUACCUUUGCAAAUCCACCUAGAAUUCAAAAAGGAGACAUUUAAAGUGCAGUGUGAUGACAUGCUUUCUUGUCUAUGAGCCCAGUUACACUGCAGUAUCUAAUAUGCACAGUGUGCAGUGUCUUCAUUAGAGGAAAGAUGACUACUGCUACCAGCUUCCAAUUACAUUUUCAAAGUUAUGCCCCCAAAAUACACACAUGAAACACGACCUAUAUAUGCUACAAUAACAACUAAUCUUUACUCUGAGAAAUACUAUAAUGUUAGACAGAUUGUACAUACCCAUUCGCAUUCACAGAUUAUACCUACCUGUUCCGAUAGUUUCACGUAACUCAUAGUACUUGAGAAUUUCAUCAUAGUCCCCUACAGCCAUUCUGAGAGGAACAGGGCCCUGCAGUUCUUCUCAGCACCUGCAAGCAGAAAGCAUAGCCAGUGUUCAUGCUUUUCCACUCUGAGCAGACCUGCAGAAUCUGAAUUUUGCAGAUUCGCUGCAGCGCCAGCGGUGGGGCGACCUGCUUUCCCAGCCAAGUGCUGCACGCCCAGCAGCAAAUUAACGAGGGGAGUCAGACCGAACAACAGCGGCUUCCAGGGCCCCCCCGCCUGCGCCUGGCAGCCAGAGCGGGCGGCUGCUUUGCAGCAGUAACAAUAACGGCUCCGCCGGUUUCCUCCACAGUGGACACACCGCAGCGACCCUCUCCCUUGGCGAGCAGCACUGGGCGCUGCUCUCACGCCGCCCGCAGCCCGACUCCGCUGCGGACCCGUCCGGACCCCCGGGCUGCGAGGCGAGAGGCGUCGGGUGUCCCCGGCCUCCCCCGGACCCUGCCGCUAGGAGAAAAGCGAGAAGCCCCAAGGUCUCUGACCAGCACCGGGGUCUGCGGGGAGUGAGGGACCACGAACAGCACUCACCGCCUCGACAGCCACCUCCCAGCGCAGCCGUUACCUUUCAAAUCUCCUGGCCGCGGCGGCCAAGGGGCCAAUCACCGUGCAAGGUGAGCGGAACAGGCGGGAGGCGCCGUGCAUGCUGGGAGGCAGGCGGAGAGGGCUCUGGGGAGUGAAUGCAGCCAUGGGGCGAGGGUUCGUGCAGCUGUCCCGCUGCCGACAGGAACGGGCUUCAUCGUGCCCGGUCCCUACACAGGCGGAAAACAGCCUCCGAGCCUACCGGGGAAGCCGCUGCCCCGACAGCCGCCGGAGACGGCCGCGCAUGAGCCGUCACCUUGCUCGCGACCCUUGGGAGACUACAGCUCCCAGCAUGCCUCGCGGCCCGGCCUGCCGUGACCGGGCGGCCCCUCCCGCCGCGCUCGCGCUGCCCGCGGCACGGGACCGUCCCGCUCCAGCCGCCGGGCGGCCCCACCCCACCCCCGUGGGGCAUCCCGAAGCAGCUGAAGAGCAGACACGCAGGGCUGGCUCUGCUAAGGUAGGGAGCUGAGGGCCGCCUUUGUCGUGCUCAGCCAUUCCCUGGCCAGGCCUUCUGCCUUUCUGCCAUAAGGCAAAAAAAAGAAAAAGGACUAGUGGAGCAUCUUAUUCCUUUGGAAUGCUCACAGAGAGAUUAAAUCUCUCCCAAAAUAAAGUGACCUACAUUUAACAGAGUAAGGUUCAACUCUCUGCUGAAUAAAAUGACGAAGGAUGCUUCGGGGACAGAGUAUAGGGCUGUUCCUUUUGGGCAGGACAGAGGGUGUUUUACUUUCUGGUAGAUGUCUCUAAUAGAGGGAUUGUCAUCUUCUAUUCUGCAUCAGCCAAUUAAUGGCUCCUUGUGUUCUGAUGAACACAGUCAUUAUGAAAACCAUUGAGUAAUUUCACUGCAAAUACAGCAGCCCUUCCACAUGUGACUCUUGCAAAGACUGAAUGACUGAAAGAAAGCAGGCUACCUUUGUCUUGAGGGUUAACCCCCGUAUGCUGCAGAAGUUCCACAAAGCCACUCGCUUGGCUUGGGGGAAGGAGAUGGGGAGAGUAAAAGCAAGCAACCUGCUGAGUCAAGAUGAAAAUCACUUCCUGAGCAAAGCCAAAGCAGAAGGAGAGAGAAAGAAGAGAAAGGAAAGCAAGUAAUAUGAAGGCAAGAGGCAAGUGCCUAGCCCCACCCAGGGGUAGGCCUAAGGCCAAAAAGUUGACAAGGAAAGCUGGCCAACCUCCUGAAGCCCACUCCUCUCCCAUUUUGUUGCUGAGCACAGCAUGAUGUGGCAUGGAAUAUGUUUUUGGGGAGCUGGGGUGGUCUGCCUGGCUGUGUUCCCCCACAACCGCUUAUGCACCCCCCCACACCUCUUCACUGGGGCAGCAGAACGAGACACAGAGAAGGCCUUGAAGCUGUGCAAAUGCUGCUCAGCAGCAGCCAAACAGUGUGUUAUCAGCACUGCUUGGGUCACAGGUCUAACCCACAGUGCCGUACCAGGUGCUGUGAAGUCAAUAAACUGUGGCCCAGCCAGGCCGUGUGCACUUGGGCAAACAGGCAAUGGGGUUAAUGACCUCUGAACCUCUCACUUCUGACCUACACUGCAGCGAAGUGUGUGAACACUGCCUAGUUGUCUGGGCAGUGACACUCCUUGGCUGGAGCAGCAAGCUCACCACCUGCCAGGUGCUCGUCAUAUUGGAAUGUUACUAGUCUUAAUAGAAAUGCUGGAAUGGAGCCAGGCCACGAGGGAAACCACCUUGCCUUAAGCUGCCCCUGCUGAGCAUUCCCUAAGUUCUCAUAGAACAGAGUGUCACAGGGCUUGGAAAGUAGUUGACAAAGUAUCCAUUUUAAGGGGAUGAGAAUGUCUGGCAAUAGGGGCGGAGCAGCUGGGCCUGCACCUGCCCUUGAAGCAUUGUGGGUGAUUGCCAGCUUGUUGACAGCUGCCCGCUCUGCUUGCCGUGCCUUCUUGAGAAGGUGUUUUGGGGAUGGUUGGCUUUCUCUCAGCUGCAGCUUGCUGUCUGGGGGGCAGCAAGGCUCUGCAGGGGUGUGUGGGGGCCCAGCAGGCUUCUCUAGGGGUGUUGGGGAGCAGCGUGGUUCCACAGGGUCAUGUGCAGGACCUGGCAGUGUAGGCAUCCCUCGGGUGUCUGGGACUUGUCAGGGCAGGCCGGGGUGGGGAAGAGGAGCUCAAACGGCACGUGGAGUUCCACAGUCUUUUUAUCAAUGGCUGGGGGACACAGGCAAGCUGGCUGGGCUAGGGCCUCUGCUUCCAUCCUACAGGAUGCCCAUUUCUUUCCUGGGUCACCAACCACCAAGUGUUCCUCUCGCUGCGCUGCCACAGCCUUUGGCCUCUUCUUCAGGCUUCAUGGCACCACCUCUGUACACAGCUCCAGCAGCACUGUCAGCCAUUUCCCAGGGCAGGGGUCCUCCCCCUCCUCCAUGCCCUCUGGAGCUGGUAGAACAGUGCUUGCAGGCGGAAUCCAGAGGGAGGCUGUUUCACUGCAGACUCCAAGAUCAGCAGGGUUUGAGAAGCCAGGGAAGAGACUGAGAGGCUGUUGUCGUUUGCCUGGUCUUGAAGGGCUGGGAUGAAAAGGAACAGAGCUGAGGUCAGAGCCCAGUUCUGUGGUGACCUCUGGAGCUCCUCCAGCCAGGGUCACCCCUGCCCCCCCAGCUCUCCCCAGGGACAGGAGGAAGGCAGGGCUGUUGGGAUCUUCCCAAGGGUGAUGGCCGCCAAUGUCCAACGUACCUCUCUGCUCUGCCCACACUGACCCUCACCCGCACAGGGAGUAAAGCCCUCCUGGGCUGGGGCAGGAGUUGGGGUAUUUCCUCCUUCCUGACAACCCCCACAGGUACCCCACUGUCCUUACUUACCCUUGUAGAUGACCUGGAGCUUCUUCUGGCACACAUCUGCCUGCUGGCGCCCAAUGAGCCCUAGGCACACACAGCCCGUCACACGGCCUUUCUAGAGACCCAGCUUCCUGCCACCAGCCCCAUGGGCCUAGCCAUGCAUCUUCCUCCAUUUGGGCAAGGCUGAGCCCAGGGUGGUACCCUGAAUGUAAAGCCCAAGAAGGCUGCAAGAGACCCAGCAAAGCUCCCACUAGGAGCCCAUGUGCAAGUCCAGGUGCAAAAGGGCAGCAGGGAUCCCCGUGGGCCCCACAUGGGGCAGUCAGGGCUCUUCAGCUGCCUAGCAGAUUUGGCAGCAGCUGUGGCUGGAGCUAAGCUGCCGUGGGGCAGGGAGAGUCCCUUGGCAGGGUUGUGGCUCACCCAGGAACCUGACGGCCACCUCAUGCAAAGGCUCUUGUGGGCUCUGCAGGUAUGGCAGGCUCUGGUGCAGGUAGUCCUCCACUCUGCUGCUGUCCUCCGUGAGUUGGUGAGAGCACCAGGGGAGAGGGUUGACGCAAAGCCUUCCCCGAAGCCCAGGACUGGCCUUGCCUGCCUUCUGCUGGCCAGACACCCAUGAUGCCCAGCAUGCAGCUGGCUGGCACCGGGGUUUGGAGGAAGCAUGGGGCUGAGUGCUCCCUGCGAUGGCACCCUGCUGGCAAGGCUCAGCUGGGUUGGGGCUCCGUCAACACGCUUGGACUCCAGAGUGAAAAGGAACCUGUGUGUGGUGCAGGCAGCACUGUGCUGGCACAAAGGGCAGUGGCGCAGCUGCUAGCCCCAUGCACUAGGGAAUUGCGGGAGAGCGGCUUCUCCAGGCUGCGUGUGAGACUGUAUGGCCGUCCUUACCAGGCACUCGCCAGCUCUCCGUGUCUGCUGUGUCUCUAGCAGCUUCCUGAGCUGCCUCCACUUCAGGAGCCUGGCAGCUCCCAGGAUGGCAUCCCAAGAGGCCUUCAGACCAGCAGAGACUGGGAGAUGGCACUGCCACCCAGGGGACAGGAUCUGGGGGUCCCUGGGCAGAGCAGAUUGGGCAAGGAAGGGUCAGGGCCUCAGACUACCGCAGACACUGCUGUGAAGCCCACAGAGGCCCCAGGGCUUAGGUCUUUGUGGCUGCGCCCUGCUACUGAGCUAUACUGGAUCAGGCAGGGCAGGCAAGGGAAAUGCCCCUGCCCAAAUUCUCAGCUGCUGCCAGCUGUGUGGCUGCAGGCAGGGAGGAGCUCUGAGCCCUCCUCAGGGAUGCUGGAGGUCAGUCCCCAGUUGAGGCACAUUCAAAGGGCUCAGAAAUCUCCACCUGAGCCAUGCUGUGCUCCUUGUCAUGCAGGUGGAAGAACAGGGGCAUGAGCCUCUUCUGCAUGUCCUUCCUCAUCUGUGCUUUGUGGGUGCUGACUGCAACCUUCAUCGCAUCUCUGAAGAGCAGGAUGGAGCGCUCUCACACACGAUCUCCUAGGAGGAGAUGAGGAAGAAGGGGAGGACCUCAGUUUUGACUCCUCGAAGCCCAUGGUGAGGAGACAAAUCCUGGUUGCUCUCCCUCUGCAGCAAGCAAAAGAACUCAAGGGCCAGUGAACACAUGCAGAGAGGGACACACCAGCCCCAGGCCACGCACACCUGCCUGCCCUGCCCCCACCCCCCCUCCACCCCAGCAUGCUAAACAGGCCUCUGCUCUCCUGCCACCUUACGUUUUCAAAGAGUGUCAGGAGCAUCUCCAUCAGCUGUAGAGCAACGAGAAUAGCUGUUUGCCUGUCCGACAGGCAGAGCGUGUUGCCAAGGACAGUCAGGGCUGCCGUCCUGGUGUUGCAGUCUUCAUCCUGCCGGUGUUGUGUGACCUCUGACAGCAGGCCUUGCAGAGCUGCUGCCUAUGAGAAACCUGUGAUCUCAUUUUGUGGCACAAUCAAGGACCACCUUGGCAAAACCACCCUGCAUGUAGAGGCUGCAGCACCAGUGGGGCAGAGAUCUCUCUGCCAGCAGUGCAGCCCAGGGCUGGGCCUGAAGUGCUUGGGGCGACUGAGCAGGGCAGCAGGGUCUGUGAGUGUCAUUCUUACCGCUCCCAGCUCCUGGCAAAACCAGAAAAAGCCUCUGCACACAGUACCGCCUGCAGCCCAGUGCCAGGUGGGCAGCUUCACUGUGCCCAGCUGCUCCUGCUUACCUUCUCAGGCCUCUGAGACAGUGUGAUGAGGCAUGUAAUUGCCAUCCUCCACAGCAGCAAGCUCUCACUCUGCAGGUGGCACUGGAGGAUGGACAGGAUGUGAUCAGUGAUGUGACCCAAGUCAGUGCAGUCCAGGAGCUGAAAGGCGGUGGGCAGUAGAGUGAGAGCCUGACGCAGAUAGCAGAGCUCCUGGGCAGCUUGAGACAAGGCUCCAGGGCUGGUCACAGCCCUGGUGGCAGGCAGCAGCACCCACAGAGGGCCUUCCCUCUACCGUCUGCCUCAUGCACGCAGCCCAGUUUCCCCCUGCCUGCCCUCAGAGGAGCAGCACUUGCCACCAGGCCCACCUUGGUGAAGACAGUCAUGGUGCCGGUGUCCUUGUAGGCCUGUCCCUGGAGGAGGCCUAUGGCUGCCUGUUAAGACACAGAGGUGCAACAGUCCGGAGCUCCAUACCGCAGCACCCUGGCCAGGGGAAGAAGACAUUGGAAGCACAGAGCUGGACAAGCAAACUUCUCUCGCCAGCGCCACACUGCUUGCUGUGGUCUGCUGCGAGUCCAAGUCUCUCAGUGCAAUUUCCAGCAUGCUGGCAAGUGGCAGGCUCUGAGAGACUCUUGGGUGUGUGAUGUUCCUCAAGAUUGUGACGAUGAAGUCACUCUGGGUGAGGAAGCUCCCAAAUUUCUGAGGGAGAGAGGGAGGGAAGAUGUGUCACAGCAAGUAUCCUGGUGACAGGGCAGAGCUGGGCAGCGGGGGUGGCUCUGGAGUGAGAAACCUGGAGCAGAACUGGCCCUCAACCCCAGGAGAAGUGCCAGCAGCAAGAGGCUGGUCUGGGGGUGUAGUGGCAGGGCUCCUUCUGGGGGGGAUGGGGACAUCACCAGCCUGGCUAGGAGGUGAAGCCGGAGAUAAAAGAGACAAAAGGAAUCCUGUUAGAAGGUACCAGCCAAUGAGCAAUUGCCGACGUGUGUGCAGAGCGCGUGGACAGUACAUGCAGCCAAUCAUGUUACUGUAUAGCACAUGCUGUAACCAAUCAUAUUGUUGCAAGGUGUGUGGACAGGGUAGCAUUUGGUAUAAAGCUAGCUCGGUCAGACAAUAAAGUUGAACUCUGUGAACAUCA